rnacentral:rRNA from 1 species
GAUGAACGCUAGCUACAGGCUUAACACAUGCAAGUCGAGGGGUAACAAGAGAAAAGCUUUCUUUUCUUGUUGACGACCGGCGCACGGGUGAGUAACGCGUAUCCAACCUGCCUAACACUAGGGAAUAUCCUUUCGAAAGUAAGACUAAUACCUUAUGAUUUCCAUUGAUGUCAUCAGAUUAGUAAUAAAGAUUUAUCGGUUAUAGAUGGGGAUGCGUCUGAUUAGCUUGUUGGCGGGGUAGCGGCCCACCAAGGCAACGAUCAGUGGGGGUUCUGAGAGGAAGGUACCCCACAUUGGAACUGAGACACGGUCCAAACUCCUACGGGAGGCAGCAGUGAGGAAUAUUGGUCAAUGGGCGGAAGCCUGAACCAGCCAAGUAGCGUGCAGGAUGACGGCCCUAUGGGUUGUAAACUGCUUUUAUACAGGAAUAAAGUUAGCCACGUGUGGUUAUUUGUAGGUACUGUAUGAAUAAGGACCGGCUAAUUCCGUGCCAGCCGCCGCCGUAA